GUACAGGGCUCUGCACCAGAUAGAUUCUCAAUAAUUGUUUGUCAAUCAAGUGAUCACGGCUAAUAUUUUAGGAACUCCUUGAGGAGCAGCAGCAUGAUCAGAGCACCCAGGGAAAGGCGCAGGGCAUGCCCGCUGGGGGGUUGCCCACACCAGGUGAAGGAUGCAUUUCUGGUUCCACGUCAGGCAUCAAAAUUCAUUGGAAACAGACAAUCAUUGGAGAAAUAUUUUCUUCCAUCAGUGCAGAUCAAGGACAAGAGCCUGGUUUAUAAUCUGCACGUCAUUAUUGCUGAUGCUCUUGUUCGUACCGUGGCCCGUCAAGGAAAACCUGGCUGCUUAUAAAAUCCUCAAGUUCCUGUUUUUACUGCAAGUUGCCUAAAAAUGAUGCCCAGUGUCCUUUAAAAAUUAGGGCCGGACAGGAUGAUGAGGCUACUGUGAUCUUUAUUUAUACUUUGGAAUUGUUUUUAUCAA